GCUUGAAAAUAUACGUGAGGUGCUUCUCAGUAAAUUUUUGCCCUAUAAAAACUGGUGUUCAUGUAAAUAAUCCAUAAUUUAUGCUAAAUUUUAAAAAUGCACUUCUUGGCCACCAACAGCCUUUAUAAAGCUUGGAUGCACUGGCACGAAGGUAGAACACAUACUCCGAAGGUGCUUCAUUAUAUAAAAUCAUCUGUCUGUUUCUACAGCUAUACUCCCUAAUAGCCUGCAGCGAGAAGAGCCUCUUGUUUAUUUUCUUUUUCCCAUGUUUUUUAAUCUCUUAUUUUUAUCAUGCCUGGUUUUCACAUGGGAGCAUUAUAUUUCACGUAAAGGACUUAUUCCAAAGACUUACAGAUUUUUGAUAGGCUGAACACAUAUUUUGUUCAUUAAAAAUUCUCUUCAGUAUCUAGGAACUCCAUUAGGAAGGUAGGAAUGAGCCCUUGUGUUAUUUAUCGACAAAUGACAUGUGAACCUGUGAACAGUUUAUUUUAAGGGUAGCAUUACAGAGAUGAACUCUAUAAUCUGCAGUAAUAGAAAGAAUUAAGAAUGGGAAUAUUUAAACUGCACAUGGGAAUCAAAAAUUCCUGCCAGUCCUCUAUAAAACUUCUCCUGCAAAGAGGAUGCCAUGUAUCUAGAGAUGUUUAUGGAUAGCAUAAUUUUCCCCAUAAGUUGUUUUGCAGACUAGAAAAUGUAUAUGGGGAAAUACUUGGGAAACUAAAGUCAUAUGCUUUGAUGUGUGAAAUCAGCCUAGUUGAAAUGAUAAAUUCUAAGUACAGCAUUAAAUACCAGUUAUCAGUUUCUUAAUAGAAAACACUAUGGAAGUUAAACAUCCACACAAUUGGGGUAAAAAAUCUCGUAUUUGGCAUUUGUGCAUUUGACAUGAAAUAUAGAAACCUCUGAUUUAGAGUUCAACGUGUUUCAAUGGAUUCCAAAUAGCCUAAAGGGCAGCUGCUCCAAAACUAAAGGUAAUUAUGAAAAUAAAACCUCACAUUUCUCAAACCAAAGGCUUGGUUUAUAUUCUGAAAAGAAACUUGUAGAGACCAGUCCAGACUGGAUCACCAGAACAGGAGAUAAGGGCUGGUUCUGCACCAAUCUGGUCAUGUCUGAAACACGCCUGUAACUUUAUAUAUGAAUGAUCUCUAUGGCUUCAGUAAAACUAUUCCUGCACUUGAGAGAUAUACAUAUAUAAGUCUUAAUUGGGUCUUACCUACGAAUUCAGUCUGGAGCAUCCUGAAAAAAUAGGUACCUUCAAGAACAAAGCUUCCAUGGCCCUUGACACGGAGGCCUGAAGAUUAGGCAUCACUCGCUUGACCAAUUAGCUGCUAUUUGACUCUGUACAGGAUUAGUGGUUCAAAACAGGUACAGGCUUGGCAUAAGUUCGUUUAGUCACAAAAAGGCUCAUGGAGUCUUUAUCUUGCUAGAAACAAUCAUCAGCAGAGAGUUUCCUUGCUCGGAAAUCCCUAAGCCCACCCCACCGGUGGGGUUAAGGCUCAAGAAGGCCUGCCUUUGCUUGCUCUCAGGGGCUUGGAAACGAUGCCUUCUCCUGGCUUCCUCUCUCUCCAGCACCUAUGGCUCCAGGUCAAUAUUUUAGUCCCUGUAACUGGAAUUGGGAUAACUGGGCAACUUGGCUCCGCCUUGCCCUGUGGCCUAGUACCUCCAGUGCUGGCUCACGGCGCUGUGCUCAGUGCUGGAACAGGACCCACCAGCUCCGUCCUAGAGCCUGAAACACAGCACCCAGGAAACACCCCCCACCCCACUGCAGUUGGAUGCAAAGACCUUGCCCAUUAAUUCCUCUCAGCAUAAUGCUACUAAAUAAAUAUCACAUGACAUUACUGACUUUA